rnacentral:rRNA from 1 species
CAGUAAUACAGUUAACACAUUAAGUGUACCGCCUGGGGAGUACGGUCGCAAGAUUAAAACUCAAAGGAAUAGACGGGGACCCGCACAAGCGGUGGAGCAUGUGGUUUAAUUCGAAGAUACGCGAAAAACCUUACCUGGCCUUGACAUUGAUAGAAUCCUGUAGAGAUACGGGAGUGCCGGCUUGCCGGAACUUGAAAACAGGUGCUGCACGGCUGUCGUCAGCUCGUGUCGUGAGAUGUUGGGUUAAGUCCCGCAACGAGCGCAACCCACGUCCUUAGUUGCCAGCAUUUCGGAUGGGAACUCUAAGGAGACUGCCUUCGCAAGGAGGAGGAAGGUGUGGACGACGUCAAGUCAUCAUGGCCCUUACGGCCAGGGCUACACACGUGCUACAAUGGGGCGUACAAAGAGCAGCAAUACCGCGAGGUGGAGCAAAUCUCAAAAACGCCUCCCAGUUCAGAUUGCACUCUGCAACUCGAGUGCAUGAAGUUGGAAUCGCUAGUAAUCGUAGAUCAGCAUUGCUACGGUGAAUACGUUCCCGGGUCUUGUACUCACCGCCCGUCACACCAUGGGAGUUGAUUUCACCCGAAGCGGGGAUGNUAAAGUAGCUACCUUUCACGGUGGAAUCAGCGACUGGG